rnacentral:piRNA from 1 species
UGGGAACUACCAUGAACCACUCCAGUACC